GAUGAACGCUGGCGGCGUGCCUAAUACAUGCAAGUCGAGCGAACGGACGAGAAGCUUGCUUCUCUGAUGUUAGCGGCGGACGGGUGAGUAACACGUGGAUAACCUACCUAUAAGACUGGGAUAACUUCGGGAAACCGGAGCUAAUACCGGAUAAUAUUUUGAACCGCAUGGUUCAAAAGUGAAAGACGGUCUUGCUGUCACUUAUAGAUGGAUCCGCGCUGCAUUAGCUAGUUGGUAAGGUAACGGCUUACCAAGGCAACGAUGCAUAGCCGACCUGAGAGGGUGAUCGGCCACACUAGAACUGGGACACGGUCCAGACUCCUACGGGAGGCAGCAGUAGGGAAUCUUCCGCAAUGGGCGAAAGCCUGACGGAGCAACGCCGCGUGAGUGAUGAAGGUCUUCGGAUCGUAAAACUCUGUUAUUAGGGAAGAACAUAUGUGUAAGUAACUGUGCACAUCUUGACGGUACCUAAUCAGAAAGCCACGGCUAACUACGUG
rnacentral:rRNA from 1 species